CAGGCUCUACCGCUAUCUGUCCGAGUCACUUUCAUUGUCCGGCCAUUUCCCCAACUGUCCAGAGGCGAAGUGUGGCCCUGCCCCAGUCCUCAGCUCUGUCUGUGUGGGACUGGGUGAGGACAGUGUGGGGAGGGCACCGAGCCUGGGGCUGCUGCCAGCACCAUGGUGACCACUAUCUCCACCCCGCCCCUUCCCCCCGGCUCUCCCGGUGCGUGGUGGUGACCCUAGGGCCAGGGGGUGCUGUCAGAGAAGCUCCGCAGCUUCAGCAUGCAGGACCUGACCCUGAUCCGGGAUGAGGACGCACUGCCCCUGCAGAGGCCUGACGGCCGCCUCCGACCCAGCCCUGGCAGCCUCCUGGACACCAUCGAGGACUUAGGAGAUGACCCUGCCCUGAGUCUAAGGUCCAGCACAAACCCGGCAGAUUCCCGGACAGAGGCCUCUGAGGAUGACAUGGGAGACAAAGCUCCCAAGAGGGCCAAACCCAUCAAAAAAGCGCCCAAAGCUGAGCCACUGGCUUCCAAGACACUGAAGACCCGGCCCAAGAAGAA
rnacentral:sRNA from 1 species